ACUGGACCAAGAAGACGCGAGGGACAGAACAGCACUGGCGAUCGUGAAGCUGAUUUAAUACCUGUAGUUUUAGUGAAAGUUUUGAGAAAUUAAGAAAAGAGUGUUAUGCAGGCUGCCUACGAUGGGUUGUCAGCAUGGCUAAUUGCUUCAUUACAGAGUGGUACCUCCGAAAAUGCUUGGAAUAAAUUAUUUUUUUUUUCUUUCUUGCGGACUUGAGGAUGUUCCGAGAGUGCUUGAGUACAAGCAAUGAAGGUGCGUCCACAGUAACGGAGGAAACUGCAGCUUAUACACACGGCCGUAUGCAAAACCUCGGCACGUUGCACAUGAAGAUGGCACAAGGCUCCACCUACAGGUCCCAUCCUGAACUUGCAGCUCCGCACUGAUCGACGCUGAGAAACGGGCGUCUUGUCUAGAGUGCAGUUUGCUGGACCCGAACAGUGAGGCAUCAGAGAUUGUGGCCAGAGCGUCCAGUUCGUGGUACAGUGACUGACCCCGGAGAAACCACGUGAGGCAGUUUAAAAAUAGAGAUAACAGAGGCAUUGGAGUACUGUGCAUGGAGACCACUCGAGCCUGGCAGAGCUGGACGGCCUGGGCACGGAUCUUAGCCACGGGCAGCCAGGAAGACGUGCCCGUGGGCCCGGCCAGAGACGGCAAAGAGCGAAGUGGGCACGACGAUGGUGGAGAGGGAAGAGAUGCAUUUGGAGCAGUAGGGGAAAGACAGGCACCAUAUGUUCCCAUCACCAAAAUUCCACUGGCAGAACAGGGCAGAAAGUAAGGGAAGGAAAGGCAGCGAGAGAGGGGAAUGUGAGAGUCAUUGCUUUGGCUUGCCUUAAUAUGACACGCACUGUUACACAGCAAUUAAUCCCUUUGGUUAACAGCAAAGCUGGGCAAUUUAAAGGCCAUAAAUAUACGAGAGAAUAUUCUCGUAGUGGCUCAGUCUAAAUAACCUGUUUACCAUAAAUGAAAACAUCAUGUUUCAAUUUAUCAUUCUUAUCAAAAUUUAGAACUAACACUAUUUAUUACGUGAUAGUUUGAUUUACAAAUACUGACGGUUAUUACUGGAUACCUUGCUGUAAAACUAAUAUUUAAAAAAUGUGUGUGACACUCAUCCAGACACUCUCCUGGCCGUUUAUCAGUACAGUAAUUUAAAGAAACCAGUUUGAAGAAAAAACUGUUUCCACCCUGAUGUGGGAGGUGUAUGAAUAAGGUCAUUAAUUAAAACGGCUCUUGUAAUACACCAGCAAACUUGUACAUAUUUUAUAUAGAUUGAUAAUCAGUUUUCAUCAUCUAAUUUCCAGAGGUAUAUGUCAUGGGGGGGGGGAACUACAUAAAGAAAUAAAGACUGUAAAUAAAUGGCUUAUAUUUAAAAACAUUAAAAUGUAAAUAUGUAAAAAAAAAA